AUUUAUCCUGGGAACAGCGGGGGCAGAUAGGGUAAUAUGCCCCAGUCUGUUUAUCUUCUGUGUGGCUGAGGCCAUUGCAAAACAGCAGAAGAGUUGCUCCAGAUCAAACAUGAGGGUCGGCUGCUGCAAGUGCUGGGGCAGGAACGGCUGUGGCACAUUCCAGAGCGGGACUGGUUGUGUACCAACUGAACCCAAGCCCUGGUUCGGUUCUUCACAAGAAAGAACUGUGUAGUAUCUGAGAGCAAAUGGCCACUCAGCAACUUCGUACCCUUCUUCAGAGGUUGAAGGCAACUGACCAAAUUUUACCUGGUUGUUCUGGCUACGUGAACCUACAUUUCUGGCCUUGCCUAUGAAGAGCUCUCAGUUGCAAGGAAAGCAUGCAGCACUUCAAUCUGUCUCUCCAUAAAUCUGCACAGGCAAACAAGCUGCCACCGCGUCUAAUCGCCACUGUCAGCAGCAGGAGCAGAAUGCCUGCGAAUGGGAAAGCGCGCGGGCGCUGGGUAAAGGAGGAACACGCUCGCAGAGAAAAUAAGCACUGAAAACAUACGCAUCAAAUACAUCACAGGGUCGCGGGUUGCUCGCCCCUUCCUCCACAGGAGGCAGAUUCUCUUUUUCUCCUGGAGCCUCAGAAAAACCUCUCUGUUCAUCCGUGCCGGUCUUCUUCCCUGCCAGCUCAUCUUCUGACAGCCUGCUCCUGUGCCUCUAAGAGUUCCUUCUUGAGGAGCGACCAGCCCUCCUGGACCCCUCUACCCUUCAGGACUGAAUCCCAAGGGACUCCCUACAAGUGUCCUGAAUAGUUCAAAGUCUGUCCUCUGGAAGUCCAAGGUAGCAGGUUUGCUGCACCCCCUGCUAACAUCACCAGUGAUUGAGAACUCUACCCUUACGUGGUCACUCUGUUCAAGACAGCUCCCAGCCUACACAUCUCCCACCAGUUCUUCUCUGUUUGUGAACAGCGGGUCUAGCAGGGCUCCUCCCC
rnacentral:lncRNA from 1 species